rnacentral:lncRNA from 1 species
CUUUGCCCAUUUGAAGUCAAGUUUUCAUCUCUUCAAGUUUUGUUGGAUCUCAUCCUGAUGAAAGAGGAAGAUCAAAAGUUUUCAGUCGUAGUGUCACCCUAAAAGGCUCUAUGAAAGAAAUCCGAUAUCAAAGAAGAUUCUUCGAACGGGAUAACAAGGACUUGCCUAAUCCUAUGGGUUCAGAUCCAAUUUCAAAAAAAAAAAUCAAAAACAAAAAAAUAGAAGAAAAAUAAAAAUUAAAAUCAAAGUCAAAAUAGAAAUGAAAAAUAGAGAAGAAAAAAGGAAAAAGAAAAGGAGAGGCCAAGGUGAAAACUUGCAAAAGGGACUUUGAGUAAAAAAAACACGGAAAAUGAAAAUGAAAAAUAAAAAAAUGAUGAAAAAUAAAGUGGAGAGGUUAAGGGGAAAACCCGCAAAGGGCACCUUAGGCCAAAGGGGAUUUGAGUUGAAAACCCGAAAAGGGCGGCUCAAAUAUUGAUCAGAAUGGGGCAUGAAGUGAUUAG